GACGAACGCUGGCGGCGUGCCUAAUACAUGCAAGUAGGACGCAGUUGCGAACGGGUGAGUAACGCGUAGGUAACUGCCUAUUAGAGGGGGAUAACUAUUGGAAACGAUAGCUAAUACCGCAUACUAGUAGAUGGACCUGCGUUGUAUUAGCUAGUAGGUAGGGUAAUGGCCUACCUAGGCAACGAUACAUAGCCGACCUGGGAGGGGGGACGGCCACAAUGGGAAUGGGACACGGCCCAGACUGCUACGGGAGGCAGCAGGAGGGAAACUUUGGCAAUGGGGGGAACGCUUAACGAGCAACUCCGCGUGAGUGAAGAAGGGUUUCGGGUCGUAAAGCUCUGUUGUUAAGGAAGCGGUACUUAAACAGAAAGGGACGGCUAACUACGUGCCAGCAGCCGCGGUAAUAC
rnacentral:rRNA from 1 species